GGCACUGUGAUUUAGUGGUUAGCAUGUUUGACUUGCACUUGCAUGGGUCGGAGGUUUGAAUCCUGCCUCGGCCC